GCGCAUCCUGUCCGGCGACGAGGUGUGGUGUCAGGGAUUCAGCGAGCCGGGCGCCGGAUCCGACCUCGCGUCGCUCCAGUGCAAAGCCGUCCGCGCGGACGACGACUACAUCGUCAACGGCUCCAAGAUCUGGACGUCGUUCGCGCAGGUGGCCGAUUACUGCGAGCUCCUCGUGCGCACCGAUCCCGGCGCACCCAAGCACCAGGGGAUCACGUGGCUCAUCUGCCCGAUGGACACA
rnacentral:misc_RNA from 1 species